UACGUAGGGGGCAAGCGUUGUCCGGAAUCAUUGGGCGUAAAGCGCGUGUAGGCGGCUCGAUAAGUCUGCUGUGAAAGUUCAGGGCUCAACCCUGAAAUGCCGGUGGAAACUGUCGAGCUAGAGUCCGGAAGAGGCGAGUAGAAUUCCUGGUGUAGCGGUGAAAUGCGCAGAUAUCAGGAGGAACACCAAUGGCGAAGGCAGCUCGCUGGGACGGUACUGACGCUGAGACGCGAAAGCGUGGGGAUCAAACAGG
rnacentral:rRNA from 1 species